rnacentral:lncRNA from 1 species
UACAAUUGACUUUUUGGUCAACCAGUUGACCAAAGUCAACUAACCUACUUUUCAGGACCUAAAUCCUAGUACUAAUUACAUCUUCACUCUUGCAUAAGGAUCCAUGGUCAUUUUCUCCAUAAAUAAGAAAUCUUAUUUUUUUGCAUCCAAUUUGGUAUGGACCAUGCCUUGGACUUUGCCUUAAUUUGAACACUUUGUCAUGCCUUGGAAUUGCCUUGAAACCAUAACCCUGCAAUGAAUCAAAAGGAGAAGAAAAUUCAAAACAUCCACCAAGUACAAUGGCAAGCACUAAGUACAAUAAAAACUAGCAGCUCAUGCUCAUAAAUGCAUCAUUUUGCAAGUGACAUCAUCCUGUCCUCAAGAAACCAUACAAUAUCAUCUCAUGUAAUCAAUUUUACUCACUAAUCUAUUGCGAACCUAACCUAACUUCCUAACUAUAGAAGACCAUGUACAGUUUGGACAAUGAUUGACUAUAAGUGACAUCAAUUUUACAAGGGCAGCAACCCUGCUAACAUGUACCUGCAGCCAAAUAACAACAUCAGUGUAGUUAAUAAUGCAUCAUAAAACAUCGUAGUUACCAUUCCAUCACAUCCUGUAAGAAAAGGAAAGUUAGACCACCAUUCAAGCUUUGCCGACAUCAUAUCAGCAACACCUGUAAAACCAUCAGCACCAUUACAUGAUCAGUGCCUAAACACCACAGACCACUGCAGAAUACAAUAACAAUAACAUCAUGAAAGUCAUCAAACACAGAGCUAGAAAGCAGCAUGAAUCAAGGCAAUGCAUAUGACAUCAUAUCAGCUAACAUUUCAGCAACCAACAACUUAUUUCAUUAACAGGGAAUUGAGUUUCACUAACUCACAUUUCUAGUAACUCAUAACUAACUUUACCACCGAGUUAAAGACCCUUUCAAAGCAAAUUGACUAUCAACUAAUAUUUCCAUUUAAAUGAGUAACUGAACCUGAAUGAGUAUUUUCCAACUAACAUCAUUUAACUAACUAACUAACCAAAUGCAAUUAACCAUUUAACUGAAAUUACAACUAACUAAAAAACUGUCAGGAUCUUCAUUCACAAACUGAAGAGUUAACAUAGUUAAUUGUUUAACUACUCUCCUCUCCAAAUUCACUAACAGUAACCCCUGCCCUAAUAGAGCUACCGAAAUUUCCCAGUUCUGUUAUGGAUGAGCUCUAUAAAUUCCUAUCAGUGUUCAGUUCACGAGGGGCAUUCUUCACUUUUCAUCAACUUAGAGACAAUUCAUUAGGACUCUCAUAAUUCAAAUUGAUUCAUCUCUCUCAUCAUGAACUCUCAACUUCACCAAUUCUCACUCUUUUCAACCGUGAACUCUUCUCUUAAUCUUUCUCACUCUGCACCGAUCUUAGAAUACCACUCACCAUGCAGGCAUCAACAACAAGUCAUCACAAUUACUAUAGGCUAAAGAGUGAAAUAAGAAGGAUAAGAUAUAACCGAGACGAAGAAGGAGGAGAUUCGACAGAUACAGAAAAACAUACCUCAAACUCCGGUGACCUCCGCGCCGAUGAGUUCUCUUGCCUUCACCAUUUUUCCUCAUACUUGUUACCUAGAUGUAGAGUAGGAGUAGGGGAGUCAAAGCCCUAACCCCUAGGGCUUUGACUCAGAGGGAACGUGAUUUAAUUUCAGUUCUCAAAUUUAGGGUUCUUGGCUUCUAUGCUUCGAUUCAGGUUGUAUAUGAAGAAUUGGAUUGUUUCAAUGAGAUUUUCAAAUUUAGGAUGGAAAGAUGAAGGGGAUGAUGUGUUGUUUUUAGGCAUUAGAGUUCCGCCUCCACCGGAGGCGACCUCCGACACGACAGAGGAGAAUCAUAGCUUAGUGGAGGGAAUUGG